GGCCAUAGUCCUGUCACAUUCCCAAA
rnacentral:piRNA from 1 species